rnacentral:SRP_RNA from 1 species
GCUGGGUGUGGUGACGCACGCCUGUAGUCCCAGCUACUCUGGAGGCUGAGGCAGGAGGAUCCCUUGAGCCCAGGAGUUUGAGGCUGCAGUAAGCUAGGAUCUUGCCACUGCACUUCAGCCUGGGUGACAGAGCAAGUUCCCAUCUCUU